UGCGCAGACGGUGUUCGCUGUGUGUCUGCAGGCAGAGCAGGUCCCAGCCACAGUGCAGGAAUACCGGGAGAAACUGCUACAUCUUCGUAAACUCCGUCAUGACCUGGUGCAGCCCUGUCUGCCCAAGGGACCUUUCCAUGAGGACCCACGCUAAAGAAAUGGACAACAAGUCUUUCUGGAAGGUCUAUUAUGAAAAUCUGGAGAUGGUUGCUGGUCUAACUGAGGAAGAGCUUCAGGCAGACGAUGAAGAUGAUGAGGAGGGAGGCAGUGAACUAUAUCAAGC